GUGCUAUUCUCUCCAUUUCACAGGUGAGGAGUCUCAGGUUAAGUGGCUCGCCCAGGGUCACACAGCUUCAGAAAUUCAGGUAAAGACCCCAGGUGCAGAACUUUAGCCAGUGUAUCACCCAACACUAACAACCAGAAGGAUCAAGAGAAGAGCUCAUCAGAGGAAGGAUUGGGUCAUUCUUUGUACACAUGGUAAUCAUGGGACAAUAGGAGAUGAAUCUGAAAAGGACUAUGGAUUUGGUAGCAAUGUGGAGAAGAGAUUGGAGAUAAUGCUCAUCUGUGAAAUGGGGAUAGUAGUGCCACUUCCCUCAACUGAUUCCAACAUGAAAUCAGCCACACAAAUAAUGACGAUGUCUAAUAAGAUGUUGAAGGGGAUGGCAAUCUGCAUCAGGGAUGGGACUAUUCACAGUGAUGAACCCAUGAAGACUUAAAAAAGUCAUAGGCUUAUAGCAUUUGGAACUAGAAGGUAUCCAAGACAACUCCAAGGGGCUCAUGAUCAUGAAGGCACUCCCACCACCAUAGAGGGAACUGAUGGAAUCUGAAUGCAGAUGAAAGCAUAUCAUUCUUCACUUUAUUUCCUUCAGGUUUUUUUUUCCUUAUAUAAGUGAUAUGUGUUUCUUUUACAUGAUGGACAUGGAAGUAUGAAAUAUAUGAUAGCACAUGUACAGCCUAUAUCAUAUUGCUUGCCAUCUUGGGUUGGAGGGAGAUAAGGGAGGGAGAGAUGGAAUUUAGAUAGCAAAAUGUUAGAAAUUAUUAUUAAAAUUAUAUCUAUAGGUAAUUGGGGAAAUAUGAUAACAAUAAAAAUGUGUAAAAUAUUUUCCUCUAAAUUG
rnacentral:lncRNA from 1 species